GUGCCAGCCGCCGCGGUAAUACUGGCAGCUCAAGUGAUGUCCCAUAUUAUUGGGCCUAAAGCGUCCGUAGCUGGCCGCGCAAGUCCGUCGGGAAAUCCACCCGCCCAACGAGUGGGCGUCCGACGGAAACUGCACAGCUUGGGACCGGAAGGCUCGAAGGGUACGUUCGGGGUAGGAGUGAAAUCCCAUAAUCCCGCACGGACCACCGAUGGCGAAAGCACUUCGAGAAAACGGAUCCGACAGUGAGGGACGAAAGCCAGGGUCUCCAACCGGAUUAGAUACCCUUGUAGUCC
rnacentral:rRNA from 1 species